rnacentral:rRNA from 1 species
GAUUAACGCUAGCGGCAGGCCUAAUACAUGCAAGUUGAACGGGAUUAGUUGUAGCAAUACGAUUAUGAGAGUAGCGCACGGGUGCGUAACACGUAUGCAACCUACCUAUAACUGGGGGAUAGCCUCCCGAAAGGGAGAUUAAUACCGCAUAACAUUAUGAAGUGGCAUCACUUUAUACUUAAACCUCAGGGGGUUAUAGAUGGGCAUGCGUCCGAUUAGCUAGUUGGUGAGGUAAUGGCUCACCAAGGCUCCGAUCGGUAGGGGGUCUGAGAGGAUGAUCCCCCACACUGGUACUGAGACACGGACCAGACUCCUACGGGAGGCAGCAGUAAGGAAUAUUGGACAAUGGGCGCAAGCCUGAUCCAGCCAUGCCGCGUGAAGGAUGAAGGCCCUAUGGGUCGUAAACUUCUUUUAUACGGGAAAAAACCCCCCGAUGCGUCGGGGGUUGAUGGUACUGUAAGAAUAAGGGUCGGCUAACUUCGUG